rnacentral:rRNA from 1 species
CCUACGGGUGGCAGCAGUGGGGAAUAUUGGGCAAUGGGCGCAAGCCUGACCCAGCAACGCCGCGUGAAGGAAGAAGGCUUUCGGGUUGUAAACUUCUUUUGUCAGGGACGAAGCAAGUGACGGUACCUGACGAAUAAGCGACGGCUAACUACGUGCCAGCAGCCGCGGUAAUACGUAGGUGGCAAGCGUUAUCCGGAUUUACUGGGUGUAAAGGGCGUGUAGGCGGGACUGCAAGUCAGAUGUGAAAACCACGGGCUCAACCUGUGGCUUGCAUUUGAAACUGGAGUUCUUGAGUACUGGAGAGGCAGACGGAAUUCCUGGUGUAGCGGUGAAAUGCGUAGAUAUUAGGAGGAACACCAGUUGCGAAGGCGGUCUGCUGAACAGCAACUGACGCUGAGGCGCGAAAGCGUGGGGAGCAAACAGGAUUAGAUACCCGUGUAGUC